GGUGAGCAGAGGACAGCCGGGGGCUUCCGGUGAGCAGAGGACAGCCGGGGGCUUCCGUUCCAGGAAUAAAGGCAUGAGUCACAUAGAAGAGAAGGAAGCUCUAAGGAACUUCUGAAAACCACCCAUCACAGGAUCACAGCAGUCUUGCAGAAUUUCGAAACAAGGCUUUGGUAUCACUACAGGACUCCAGCAGCCAAGGUUGAAGUUUCCGAAUCUGGCCCUUGGUGAAAGGAGUUUCGCUUCAGACAUCAAAGCCAAUAGUUCGGUUCCUCAGGCCAUCAUGCCUUCUGGGCUGGAAUGAGGAAUAUUUUCAGGGGAUCCAAGUCACCAGCGGGGCCAGCUUCUCCGGUGCAGAAAGACAGCUGAGAGACCGCUAACCUCAGUGACCGGAGAAGAAUGGCUACAUGAAGUGAGUGCUCAUCCUGCCUGACAAUGGAGCUGUAAAAGUCCUUGUGAUUUACACAGGCAAUUUCAGAAACCAAUACUCCGAGGAGGCCCGGAACACCUGUAUCCUAGCCAUUAUUGAGGCGAUGAUUUAAGGCUCAUCUUGGACUCGCUGCUGUGGAAAGUGUGGAAACAGAUCAUAUAUGUUGUGACCUUACACACCCACGUUUGUUGUCAAGAACCCACUGAAUUCCACGUGUCUGCAAUUUUCAAUAGAUAAACCACCCUUUUAUCAGUUAGGAUGCAGGAUAUUAAUUUUGUUCGCAGGAAGGGAAUAUACGAACCUCUCCUCCUUUGGCUGUAAUUGCCAGUGCUGAUAGUGCAUGCUAACUGCCAAUAUUUUGGGUGUCACUAGAGGCUGGGUGGAAGGUAUCCCUGUGGAGGACUCUGAUACUCUGUUCAAAGCCGCAUGCUUGGCAUUCCUCUGUGCUAAUGGGGAAGGAAGUAGGUGCCUUUGUUUUUCAGAGAGAUUUUCAGUAAAGCUACAGGGAACAACAGCAGGCCUCAAACUAGAGAGAGGCUGUCAAAGCAAAAGACCUUAUCUGUAUAAAUCAGCCACGGCCUUAUCCUGUCUUCAAAGGCAGUAGGGACAGGCACCCCUUUUCCCCACAGCCUACUUAGGCCUGUAAGGACAAUCUGACGGAGAAGCAAAUUAAACUAAAAUAAUCUGAGGAGAAGACACAAUUUAUGAGAUGUCUUUGGUCUUGAAGGCAUCCCUGGCAUUUCAUCAUGAGGAUGUAUGACUAUCUCCGUGCCCCGAUGACUGCUGGGUAAACACUUGAGUGAGGAACAGCAGAAAGGAUUUGCCCAAGCCAUAAAUUAAAUCUGCAGCCCCUCUCCCCACCCACUUCCUUACUCUCAUAACUCCUCCUGCCUUCUGAAUAAACUAAGAGACAU